GUAACAGGGCUUGACAGCGCGCGGAAGAAAAACCAGCAAGAAGGCGGCGGGGGAAGAUGGCGGUCCUGGGGUAGAGUUUGCAAGCUUUCUGACUAGGCUAGUCGAGUAACUAUUCGGGUCAUGGCGUCAAACUCAACUAAGUCUUUCCUGGCAGAUGCCGGCUAUGGCGAACAGGAACUGGAUGCCAACUCUGCCCUUAUGGAAUUGGACAAAGGCCUAAGAUCUGGCAAACUUGGUGAACAGUGUGAAGCAGUUGUUCGCUUUCCCAGACUUUUUCAGAAGUAUCCAUUCCCUAUUCUUAUCAAUUCUGCAUUCCUAAAGUUAGCUGAUGUUUUCAGAGUUGGCAUGAGAUGCAUGUCUGUGAAGUACCUGAAACAUAAAUAAUUUCCUGAGGCUAUGUGUUCUUAAAGUUACCCAACAAAGUGAGAAACAUUUGGAGAAGAUUCUAAAUGUGGAUGAAUUUGUGAAGAGAAUUUUUUCUGUGAUUCAUAGUAAUGAUCCUGUGGCAAGAGCCAUCACCCUCCGGAUGUUGGGAAGUCUGGCAUCAAUAAUUCCUGAGAGGAAGAAUGCUCAUCAUAGUAUUCGUCAGAGUUUAGAUUCACAUGAUAAUGUAGAAGUUGAAGCUGCUGUUUUUGCUGCUGCAAACUUCUCUGCACAGUCAAAGGAUUUUGCUGUAGGAAUCUGUAACAAAAUCAGUGAAAUGAUUCAAGGUUUAGCGACACCAGUAGACUUGAAGCUAAAAUUGAUACCCAUUCUACAGCACAUGCACCAUGAUGCAAUCUUGGCUUCCAGUGCUCGUCAGCUUUUACAACAGCUGGUCACAUCCUAUCCGUCCACCAAAAUGGUGAUUGUGUCUUUGCACACUUUCACUCUGCUUGCAGCGUCAUCUUUGGUUGAUACACCUAAGCAGAUUCAGCUUCUGUUGCAGUAUUUGAAGAAUGAUCCCAGGAAGGCAGUAAAGAGACUUGCUAUUCAAGAUCUGAAAUUACUUGCUAAUAAAACACCACAUACUUGGAGUAGGGAGAAUAUUCAGGCACUUUGUGAGUGUGCCCUCCAGACUCCUUAUGACAGCUUAAAACUAGGGAUGUUGUCUGUCCUUUCCACACUAUCAGGGACCAUCGCCAUCAAACAUUACUUCAGUAUAGUUCCAGGAAAUGUGAGUUCUUCUCCCAGAUCUUCUGAUUUAGUCAAAUUAGCCCAAGAGUGCUGUUACCAUAAUAACAGGGGCAUUGCAGCUCAUGGAGUUAGAGUCCUAACUAAUAUAACUGUUUCUUGUCAAGAAAAGGAUCUUUUGGCACUGGAACAAGAUGCUGUCUUUGGCCUGGAAUCCCUACUGGUACUUUGUAGUCAAGAUGAUAGUCCAGGUGCUCAGGCCACUUUAAAGAUUGCUCUAAACUGUAUGGUGAAGUUGGCCAAGGGCAGGCCCCAUCUUAGCCAGUCAGUAGUUGAGACCUUGUUGACUCAAUUGCACAGUGCUCAAGACGCUGCCCGGAUUUUGAUGUGCCAUUGCCUGGCAGCCAUUGCCAUGCAACUGCCGGUGCUGGGUGAUGGGAUGCUUGGUGACCUCAUGGAGCUGUACAAGGUGAUUGGACGAUCAGCCACAGACAAGCAACAAGAACUUCUGGUGAGUUUGGCUACUGUGAUUUUUGUUGCAAGUCAGAAGGCAUUGUCUGUGGAAAGUAAGGCAGUAAUUAAGCAGCAGCUUGAAAGUGUCUCCAAUGGAUGGACUGUAUACCGUAUUGCCAGACAGGCUUCCAGAAUGGGUAAUCAUGACAUGGCCAAAGAGCUUUAUCAGAGUUUGCUGACUCAGGUUGCCUCAGAACAUUUCUACUUCUGGCUAAAUAGUUUGAAGGAGUUUUCACAUGCAGAACAGUGUCUCACUGGGUUGCAAGAGGAAAAUUAUAGUUCAGCACUUUCUUGCAUUGCUGAAUCUUUAAAAUUCUAUCACAAAGGGAUUGCUUCCUUAACAGCAGCUAGUACACCACUGAAUCCUUUAAGCUUUCAGUGUGAAUUUGUAAAACUCAGGAUUGACCUUUUACAAGCCUUCUCUCAACUUAUCUGUACUUGUAAUAGCCUGAAGACAAGCCCACCACCUGCAAUUGCCACAACAAUUGCCAUGACCUUAGGAAAUGACCUCCAGAGGUGUGGUCGCAUCUCCAAUCAGAUGAAACAGUCCAUGGAAGAAUUUCGAAGCCUUGCUUCUCGAUAUGGAGAUCUUUACCAGGCAUCUUUUGAUGCUGACUCAGCAACUUUGAGGAAUGUUGAACUACAGCAGCAGAGCUGUUUACUGAUAUCUCAUGCAAUAGAAGCCCUGAUUUUGGAUCCAGAAUCAGCAAGUUUCCAGGAAUAUGGAUCUACUGGAACAGCCCAUGCUGAUAGUGAAUAUGAAAGAAGAAUGAUGUCUGUAUAUAAUCAUGUCUUGGAGGAGGUAGAAUCACUCAAUCGGAAAUAUACCCCUGUUUCUUAUAUGCACACAGCAUGCCUCUGCAAUGCCAUCAUUGCUUUGCUGAAAGUUCCCCUUUCUUUCCAGAGAUAUUUUUUCCAGAAACUACAGUCUACCAGCAUCAAGCUUGCUCUGUCACCAUCGCCCCGGAAUCCUGCAGAGCCCAUUGCUGUCCAGAAUAACCAGCAGCUGGCGCUAAAGGUAGAGGGAGUGGUUCAGCACGGAUCUAAACCAGGACUCUUCCGCAAAAUUCAGUCUGUCUGUCUGAAUGUUUCUUCCACACUGCAGAGUAAAUCUGGACAAGACUACAAGAUACCCAUUGACAACAUGACCAAUGAGAUGGAGCAAAGGGUUGAACCUCAUAAUGAUUACUUCAGUACUCAAUUUCUGUUGAACUUUGCUAUCCUUGGAACACACAACAUUACAGUGGAAUCUUCUGUGAAAGAUGCCAAUGGUAUAGUAUGGAAGACUGGUCCCAGAACUACCAUAUUUGUAAAAUCCCUGGAAGACCCUUAUUCCCAGCAAAUUCGCUUACAACAGCAGCAAGCCCAGCAGCCAUUACAGCAGCAGCAGCAACGCAAUGCCUACACACGGUUUUAACCAUGGAAUGAAUGCACUGCAGACUCUCAAGAGAUCAAUCAAAUUGCCAGAAACAGUUUGGUUUUUCAUAUGGAAUAAGUAUUAAAGUUACAGUGUAGUUCAUUUAUUCAUUGAUUUUUGUAAUGUAAUAUUCUGGAAAAAAUUUUGUUUUCUUAAAAAUUUUGUCUGACAGCUGGGCGUGGUUGCUCACGCCUGUAAUCCCAGCACUUUGGGAGGCUGAGGUGGGCGGCUCACGAGGAGAUCAAGACCAUCCUGGCUAACACAGUGAAACCCCGUCUCCACUAAAAAAUACAAAAAAAUUAGCCAAGCAUGGUGGCAGGCGCCUGUAGUCCCAGCUACUUGGGAGGCUGAGGCAGGAGAAUGGUGUGAACCUGGGAGGCGGAGCUUGCAGUGAGCCGAGACUGUGCUCCAGCCUGGGCGACAGAGCGAGACUCCGUCUCAAAAAAAUAAAUAAAUACAUUUUGUCUGAAAAAUAACUGGGAUCCUGGCCAGAAAGAUUGUUCUUUCUUGUUUUAUUAUUAGUUUUUUCUGUUGCCAAGCUUUUUUUUCUUUCAAGAAUAGUCACAUGUUGAGAUCACUGAAUUGGUAAAUUUGACCGCUACUCUUCCAAAAUACAUCAUUUGCUGCCUGACUUAGACCUAGGAUUCUGAGUUGUUCAUUGGGAGGUUCUGACCAGUCACUACAAGGUUUAUCCAUGGUAGCAGAACCUGAGUCCUUCUGUAGAUGGACUUGAAAGUGUUCCGUGCAACAUCCAGCCUUCUGGAUUAUGAAAGCCCACAGUCUAACAGUAUUGAAACAUCCUGCUGUAUUAGUUCAACCACAUAUUUAUCUCUUCCUGUGCUAAAGCAGUCUUUAUUAUUUUCAUAUUUAAUUGAAACAAAGAGCAGCUAGCAAUUUCAUAGAAAAUUAAUUUGUUUUUUCUGAUGUGUCUGCAACUGUGUAUAAUACAGACAUUUCACAUUGUUUCCAAAAGUGAAGAACACUCAUUUAAUAUCUUCAAUGUUUUAAGUUAGAAGGGGUGGAUCUUUUCCUUUGGUUGGUGAUUGGUUUGGUUUAUACUUGAUGAGUUAUGCUAGACUGAUUGUUUAGAGAGAGCAGUCUCUUUAUUACACAGGCUCAGUUUGUUGGGAUGCUCAGGGAACAGAGUUUUCUGGUUAGCCAGAAAACCCCCUUUUUUCCUAUUUUAAUUCUGGUUGAAAACCAUGAUAAAAUAGACUUUCUUAGCACAGUAUGGUAGAUAUAACUUAACUGCUUUUUGAUUGGGGAUCAUUUAGGGCUUCAGGAUCACGAUUUCUAAACAUCAGGGAUCAUAUGGUUGCAGAUGCCGAUGCUAUAAGUAAUUUGGCCGGAUGCAGCUCCUAAGGUAAAGCAGGGUACUUUCCCUGGAAUUUCCUUUUUAAAUAAAUAUCUGUUUCUUUGCU